GGGAGAGAGGGGCGGCCUAAAUUGCAAGUCGAGCGGAUGAAGAGAGCUUGCUCUCUGAUUAGCGGCGGACGGGUGAGUAAUGCCUAGGAAUCUGCCUGAUAGUGGGGGACAACGUUUCGAAAGGAACGCUAAUACCGCAUACGUCCUACGGGAGAAAGCAGGGGACCUUCGGGCCUUGCGCUAUCAGAUGAGCCUAGGUCGGAUUAGCUAGUUGGUGAGGUAACGGCUCACCAAGGCGACGAUCCGUAACUGGUCUGAGAGGAUGAUCAGUCACACUGGAACUGAGACACGGUCCAGACUCCUACGGGAGGCAGCAGUGGGGAAUAUUGGACAAUGGGCGAAAGCCUGAUCCAGCCAUGCCGCGUGUGUGAAGAAGGUCUUCGGAUUGUAAAGCACUUUAAGUUGGGAGGAAGGGCAUUAACCUAAUACGUUAGUGUUUUGACGUUACCGACAGAAUAAGCACCGGCUAACUUCGUGCCAGCAGCCGCGGUAAUACGAAGGGUGCAAGCGUUAAUCGGAAUUACUGGGCGUAAAGCGCGCGUAGGUGGUUUGUUAAGUUGAAUGUGAAAGCCCCGGGCUCAACCUGGGAACUGCAUCCAAAACUGGCAAGCUAGAGUAUGGCAGAGGGUGGUGGAAUUUCCUGUGUAGCGGUGAAAUGCGUAGAUAUAGGAAGGAACACCAGUGGCGAAGGCGACCACCUGGGCUAAUACUGACACUGAGGUGCGAAAGCGUGGGGAGCAAACAGGAUUAGAUACCCCUGGUAGUCCACGCCGUAAACGAUGUCGACUAGCCGUUGGGAUCCUUGAGAUCUUAGUGGCGCAGCUAACGCAUUAAAUCG
rnacentral:rRNA from 1 species